AAUCAACGCUGGCGGCGUGCCUCAGACAUGCAAGUCGAACGCGAAAGUCCCCUUCGGGGGACAAGUAGAGUGGCGCACGGGUGAGUAACACGUAGGUAAUCUACCUUCGGAUGGGGAAUAACAACCGGAAACGGUUGCUAAUACCGCAUAAUGCAGCGGCACCUAAUGGUGACAGUUGUUAAAGCGGGGGAUCGAAAGACCUCGCGUCUGAAGAGGAGCCUGCGGCGGAUUAGCUAGUGGUAAGGUAAUGGCUUACCAAGGCGACGAUCCGUAGCCGGCCUGAGAGGGCGGUCGGCCACACUGACACUGACAUACGGGUCAGACUCCUACGGGAGGCAGCAGUCGGGAAUUUGGGCAAUGGGCGAAAGCCUGACCCAGCAACGCCGCGUGAAGGAUGAAAUCCCUCGGGAUGUAAACUUCGCAAGAACGGGAAGAAUAAGUA
rnacentral:rRNA from 1 species